rnacentral:pre_miRNA from 1 species
AAAAGUGCUGUUUGUGCAGGUAGCAGUCAUCCAACUACUGCAAAACCAGCACUUCAGG